rnacentral:rRNA from 1 species
UACUCGAGUGGCGAACGGGUGAGUAACACGUGGGUGAUCUGCCCUGCACUUCGGGAUAAGCUUGGGAAACUGGGUCUAAUACCGGAUAGGAGCCAUCUUUAGUGUGGUGGUUGGAAAGUUUUUUCGGUGUAGGAUGAGCUCGCGGCCUAUCAGCUUGUUGGUGGGGUAAUGGCCUACCAAGGCGGCGACGGGUAGCCGGCCUGGGAGGGUGUACGGCCACAUUGGGACUGAGAUACGGCCCAG